AGUCCAUGGUGUGGGCAGUAUUGCAAUAGGUCUUUGUACCUCUUCUAAGUGUCGUACAUCGACUCAUUAUUAAACUACACAAAAAAAGAUAUGUCAUCUCUAAGUUU
rnacentral:snoRNA from 1 species